UUUCAUCCAUGUUUUUUUCUGGUAUUUGGGGAAUUCAUUGUUUUCAUUUUUACAUUUAAUUCUUCAUCUAAAUUUUGUUUUUAAAUAAAAACGAGAUAGCUUAUUUUGUCUUAGAAAACUAACUGGGCACAGUGACACACGCCUAUAAUCCCAGGGACUGGAGAGGCUAAGGCAGGAGGAUUGGACAUUUUAAACCAGCAACUUAGCAAGGUUCUAAGCAACUUAGCAAAACCUUGUAUCAAAUAAAAAAUAAAAAGAGCUGGGGAUGUAGUUCAGUGGUAAAAAGCCCCUGGGUUCAGUCCCUAAUACCACAAACAAACAAAAAGCUGACAAAUUGCAGAUUAAUAAGAGAAAAAAAGGAACAUACUCUUGCAUUGUAGUUUCUAAAAGACUGCUUGUAUGUACAAAAAUAUUAUUGUUACAUACUGUUUUUGUAUUAAGCCAGCAUCUAAACUAUUUUCCUCAUGAUUUCCAAUUGACUGGUUUUCCCAGUAUACAACUGUAUCAUCUAUAAGUAAGAGUAAUUUGGCAUUCUUAUUACCAAUAUUAUACCUUUUCUUUUAUUCCUUGUUUUCAAAGAUGAUGAAUUGGUGUUAUGUAUUUCCCAAGAACAAUCAACCAACCCUGGUGACUGGGUAAAUUAUUUCACCCUCAGGGGGAGUUAAAUUGAACUCCCUAUACCAUUUAAGAGGCAGUAUUUCCAUUGUGUUAACUAAUUUCCUACAUAAUUGUGUUUCUUGAUAAGUAAAUCAUGUGAGUGGCGAGAACAUGAGGUGAAGGGGUCAUUCUAUAAAAUGGGCCUACCAUGCCAAUCCCCACAUGCUUUCUUUUAAAAAGCAAUUUACCUGCAGCCAUGCCUGGCUUAAGUCAAUAGGAUAUGCUAUAUUUCUCAUCAAACAACCUGUUACAGGAAAAAAGUAGGCCCAUGAAACUCCUCCCUGCCAAUAAGAACACAAGUUACCCUGAAGUGGAAGUCUUUUGUAACCUUUAUAAGACUCAAGGACUCAAGGACACAGGAUGAUUAAGAGCAAAGACUCCACCCAUGCCUAAGAACAAGUUCCAAUUUGAAUCAAUCAGCCAAAGUGACCCAGAGUUGCCUUAGAUCCUCAAUACAUCAUUAUAAUAGUAAAAUCUCCCCUUCAUUGGGUAAGACCAUAUGCAGUGGGGACUUGAAAGUCUGAUACAAUCCUGCUGUCAUUCAGAAGUCAAGGGUGGACUUGGGCAGUAUUCUGGAAACUUUCCUGGGACCCCCCAAUAAAACAGAAGGGCAGGAGGGGUGCACCAUUCCCUCUCCUAUCUAAGAAGACUCUCCCUUUUUCCUUUCCCCAUCCCUUAUAAUCAACUCAUGCCUACUACUCUGAGCAACACAUAUGAAGUCUUUCUGGCAUGGUUACAAGAACUAGUGACUGAGGACAUUUGUGAUCACAUCAACUCCAUGAAUGGCCUCGCUCUGUAACAUUUGUAUUUUUUCCCUUACAUUAUUG
rnacentral:lncRNA from 1 species